ACAUUCCUACGGGGCGCAGCAGUGGGGAAUAUUGCACAAUGGGGGAAACCCUGAUGCAGCGACGCCGCGUGAGCGAAGAAGUAUCUCGGUAUGUAAAGCUCUAUCAGCAGGGAAGAAAGAAAUGACGGUACCUGAGUAAGAAGCCCCGGCUAACUACGUGCCAGCAGCCGCGGUAAUACGUAGGUGGCGAGCGUUAUCCGGAAUGAUUGGGCGUAAAGGGUGCGCAGGCGGUCCUGCAAGUCUGG
rnacentral:rRNA from 1 species